rnacentral:rRNA from 1 species
UACGGGGGGAGCAAGCGUUGUUCGGAUUUACUGGGCGUAAAGGGCGCGUAGGCGGCGCAACAAGUCACUUGUGAAAUCUCCGGGCUUAACCCGGAGCGGCCAAGUGAUACUGUCGUGCUAGAGUGCGGAAGGGGCUACUGGAAUUCUCGGUGUAGCGGUGAAAUGCGUAGAUAUCCGGAGGAACACCGGUGGCGAAGGCGGCUUCCUGGACCGACACUGACGCUGAGGCGCGAAAGCUAGGGGAGCAAACGGG